AACAAAAUUAAAUGGAAGAGCAACAGCCAUUAACGACCUAGCAAUUAGCUAAAACAGAGGACAAAAAGAAAAAGAAAACCGAUCUUGAUAAACCCCAUACACUUUCUAUACGUACAGUGUUAAUUACAUUAAAAGUAUUUCAACAAGAAGGUCAUGGGUUGCUCCUCUUCUCUUCCAGAUAGGAGUACUGGGAGAUUGGGUGGACUUAACAAUUCAGAGAGUGGUGGAGUGGCUGAUGCCAAAAACCUACGCGUAAAGCUGGUUUUAUUAGGUGAUUCUGGUGUUGGUAAAAGCUGUAUUGUUCUUCGCUUUGUUCGUGGCCAGUUUGAUCCAACAUCCAAGGUAACUAUUGGAGCUUCAUUUUUGUCACAAACAAUAGCUUUACAGGAUUCUACAACAAUUAAGUUUGAGAUAUGGGAUACUGCUGGACAAGAAAGGUAUGCCGCACUAGCACCGCUAUAUUACAGAGGUGCUGCAGUUGCAGUUAUUGUGUAUGAUAUAACAAGCCCAGAGACAUUCAACAAAGCACAGUAUUGGGUUAAGGAGCUACAAAAACAUGGGAGCCCUGAUAUAGUCAUGGCUUUAGUAGGUAACAAGGCUGAUCUUCAUGAGAAGCGAGAAGUACCCACUCAAGCAAGAUGGCAUUGAAUAUGCGGAGAAGAAUGGGAUGUUCUUUAUUGAGACAUCUGCAAAAACUGCAGAUAAUAUAAAUCAGCUGUUUGAGGAAAUUGCUAAGCGACUCCCGCACCCUUCCUCAACAUGACUGCGGACCCUUGAAACUGAAUUAACUAGAUUGCCUCAAAUGUUACAAGAAAACCACUUGCCUGUAUCAACUUUGUGUAUAUCUUGGUAGUUGCUCCUGUGAUUUGACUGUCACUUAAGUUGAAAAUCUACAUUCCCUGUUAUUAUCAUGAAUAACACAUGCAGCGUGUUGACUUGCAGUCCACAAGUUUAUGGUGGACAACCAUGUGAAAGGACUGCAUAAAAUUGUUGCUAAGUGUUUCAAAUGUUAUAGUUUUCGGGUAA